rnacentral:rRNA from 1 species
UACGGAGGGGGCAAGCGUUAUCCGGAUUUACUGGGCGUAAAGCGCGUUCAGGCGGUUCGGCAAGUCGGGCAUGAAAUCUCUCGGCUCAACCGGGGAACUGCGUCCUAAACUGCGAGGCUUGAGUGAGGUAGGGGUGUGUGGAACUUCCAGUGGAGCGGUGAAAUGUGUUGAUAUUGGAAGGAACGCCGGUGGCGAAAGCGACACACUGGACCUUGUCUGACGCUGAGGCACGAAAGCCAGGGGAGCAAACGGG